GAUGAACGCUAGCUACAGGCUUAACACAUGCAAGUCGAGGGGCAGCAUGGACUCAGCUUUGCUGAGUUUGAUGGCGACCGGCGCACGGGUGAGUAACGCGUAUCCAACCUGCCCUUUACUCCGGGAUAGUCUCCUGAAAGGGAGUUUAAUACCGGAUGUGUUUGUUUUUCCGCAUGGGAGCGACAAAUAAAGAUUAAUUGGUAAAGGAUGGGGAUGCGUCCCAUUAGCUUGUUGGCGGGGUAACGGCCCACCAAGGCAACGAUGGGUAGGGGUUCUGAGAGGAAGGUCCCCCACAUUGGAACUGAGACACGGUCCAAACUCCUACGGGAGGCAGCAGUGAGGAAUAUUGGUCAAUGGGCGAGAGCCUGAACCAGCCAAGUAGCGUGAAGGACGACGGCCCUACGGGUUGUAAACUUCUUUUAUAAGGGAAUAAAGUUCGCCACGUGUGGUGUUUUGUAUGUACCUUAUGAAUAAGCAUCGGC
rnacentral:rRNA from 1 species